rnacentral:rRNA from 1 species
AACGAACGCUGGCGGCAGGCCUAACACAUGCAAGUCGAACGCACCGCAAGGUGAGUGGCGCACGGGUGAGUAACACGUGGGAAUGUAUCCUUUGGUUCGGAAUAACGUCUGGAAACGGACGCUAAUACCGGAUGAGCCCUUAGGGGGAAAGAUUUAUCGCCGAAGGAGCAGCCCGCGUCUGAUUAGGUAGUUGGUGGGGUAAAGGCCUACCAAGCCGACGAUCAGUAGCUGGUCUGAGAGGAUGAUCAGCCACACUGGGACUGAGACACGGCCCAGACUCCUAAGGGAGGCAGCAGUGGGGAAUAUUGGACAAUGGGCGCAAGCCUGAUCCAGCCAUGCCGCGUGAGUGAUGAAGGCCUUCGGGUUGUAAAGCUCUUUCGCACACGACGAUGAUGACGGUAGUGUGAGAAGAAGCCCCGGCUAACUUCGUGCCAGCCGCCGCAGUAAAAC